rnacentral:rRNA from 1 species
UACGUAGGUCCCGAGCGUUGUCCGGAUUUAUUGGGCGUAAAGCGAGCGCAGGUGGUUUAUUAAGUCUGGUGUAAAAGGCAGUGGCUCAACCAUUGUAUGCAUUGGAAACUGGUAGACUUGAGUGCAGGAGAGGGAGGCGGAAUUCCGUGUGUAGCGGUGAAAUGCGUAGAUAUACGGAGGAACACCAGUGGCGAAGGCGGCCUGCUGGACAUUAACUGACGCUGAGGCGCGAAAGCGUGGGGAGCAAACAGG